rnacentral:rRNA from 1 species
GAUUAGAUACCCUACUAUGCCAAGCUGUAAACACUGAUACACUCUUUCUUUGUCCGCCAGAGAAUAACGAGCCAAAGCUUAAAACCCAAAGGACUUGGCGGCGCUUCACACACCCUAGAGGGGCCUGUCACAUAAUCGAUAACCCACGAUAAACCUCACCACUUUUAGCCCAUUAGCCUAUAUACCGCCGUCGCCAGCCCAUCCCGAUAGGAAAGAAAAAUGGACCCAAUAGUCUCUACACUAGCACGACAGGUCAAGGUGUAGCUUAUAAAGUGGCAAAUGAUGGACCACAUUGCUUUUUCCAGCCAUACUCGAACUGCCCUGAAACACGCACUUUAAAGGUGAAUUUAACAGUAAGGUGGGCAAGAAAACCCACCUAAAGAAUGCUCUGGAGCGUGCACACACCGCCCGUCACCCU